rnacentral:tRNA from 1 species
GUUUCUGUAGUUGAGUGUACAACGGCAGUUUUUCAGGCUGCAGGGCCCGGUGAGAGGCUGGGUAGAAACU